rnacentral:lncRNA from 1 species
GUGUGAGAUUCUGUGUGGGUGUGUGAGAGACUCCUGGUGUGUAAAGAUAAAAAUAUGUCAGUGAAUGUGACUCUGGGAGCACAUGUGUGUGUUCCUAUGUGUUGUGUGUGUGUGUGUGUGUGUGUGUGUGUGUGUGUGUGACUAUAAGAGAGAUCCUUGUGUCAAAGAAACUAGAUGUAAGGUUGUAUGUGGGUUGAUAAAUAUAAAUGGGGUGUGUGUGUGUGUGUGUGUGUGUGUGUGAGAGAGAGAGAGAGAGAGAGACAGAGACAGAGACAGAGAGACAGAGACAGAGACAGAGACACAGAGAGAGACUGUGCAUGCUUUAGAAAUGCUGUGUGUGAGACCCCAGGUCAAUGUAUCUCUGAGAUGUGUGUGUGUGUGUGUGUGCGUGUGUGUGCAGGUGUGGACGUGUGUGUGUGUGUGUAAAGCUGUGUAUAUGUGUAAACUAUGUUCUCGACACCACCUAUGUACAUGCAAGGUGUUCUGUGUGAUAGCUAUAUGUGGCUAUGUGUUAAGAGACUAUGAGGUCCCAGGUGUGACAA